ACAUGAUGAAACCAAACUGAAAAGGCUGGAAUUACCGGCAGAUCAUUCAGUGGUGACUAACUGGUUUUCUGAUC